rnacentral:sRNA from 1 species
GGAGAAGUUUAAUACUUUCUUGUGUACUACCAAUUUUUUUUUCCUUUUUUUUUUUGAAAUUCAGGAGGUUCUGGGUCGAAGCUCGUAAUCUCCCCAGGCCCGAAACCACAUCAUGUAUUAUUAGUUUCGUCCCAAGCAUCACUCGAACCGGCGACCUCUAAGCUUCGCCUAGGGUCUUUACCAAUUGAGUUAACAACACUUGGUCGUGUACCACCAAUUACUCUCUUGUUCCCUUAAGAACCGUAUCAAAACAAUGGAACGCUCUCUUCAACGACAAGACGUUCAUCAACAACCACAAGACAACGUAUCGAUUCAUCUUAACAACCAAAUUCAAGAUUUAUUCGGUAAGCAUUCAUCCGAAGAUAGAAAUAUAUGAAUUAACCUU